rnacentral:rRNA from 1 species
AUUGAACGCUGGCGGCAUGCAUUACACAUGCAAGUCGGACGAGUGGCGAACGGGUGAGUAACGCAUCGGAAAGUAACGAGUAAAGGGGGAUAACUGUACGGAAGGACAGCUAAUACCGCAUAAUAUUCGAGCGGCCGAUGUCGGAUUAGAUGGUUGGGGGGAUAAAGGCCCACCAAGGCGACGAUCAGUAGCGGGUAUGAGAGGAUGAUCCGCCACACUGGGACUGAGCCACGGCCCAGACUCCUACGGGAGGCAGCAGUGGGGAAUUUUGGACAAUGGGCGCAAUCCUGAUCCAGCCAUGCCGCGUGUCUGAAGAAGGCCUUCGGGUUGUAAAGGACUUUUGUCAGGGAAGCGGUACCUGAAGAAUAAGCACCGGCUAACUACGUGCCAGCAGCCGCGGUAAUAC